CGCAAGUGUAUUCCUAUACUGUUGCGUUUAAAUAGCUCGUAGUUGGAUCUGCGUGUUUAGCGCGUGGUGCUGUUUUCUGGCAGUUACUAUGACGCGACACAAUCGUGCUGGUCGACGAUGCUCUCACGAGUGUCGUAGUACAGCCAGUUUACUUUGAACAAAUCAGAGUGCUCAAAACGGGCGUUUCGCUCGAAUGUUCUUGCAUGGAAUAAUGGAAUAGGACCUCGCGUUCUAUUUUGUUGGUUUUCGGGACCGAGGUAAUGAUUAAGAGGGACAGACGGGGGCAUUUGUACUGCGGCGUGAGAGGUGAAAUUCUUGGAUCGUCGCAAGACAGACUACUGCGAAAGCAUUUGCCAAGAAUGUUUUCAUUAAC
rnacentral:rRNA from 1 species